rnacentral:rRNA from 1 species
UGGGCGUAAAGCGUCCGCAGGCGGCUUUUCAAGUCUGCUGUUAAAACGUGGAGCUUAACUCCAUCAUGGCAGUGGAAACUGAAAGGCUUGAGUAUGGUAGGGGCAGAGGGAAUUCCCGGUGUAGCGGUGAAAUGCGUAGAUAUCGGGAAGAACACCAGUGGCGAAGGCGCUCUGCUGGGCCAUUACUGACGCUCAUGGACGAAAGCCAGGGGAGCGAAAGGGAUUAGAUACCCCUGUAGUCCUGGCCGUAAACGAUGAACACUAGGUGUCGGGGGAAUCGACCCCUUCGGUGUCGUAGCUAACGCGUUAAGUGUUCCGCCUGGGGAGUACGCACGCAAGUGUGAAACUCAAAGGAAUUGACGGGGGCCCGCACAAGCGGUGGAGUAUGUGGUUUAAUUCGAUGCAACGCGAAGAACCUUACCAGGGUUUGACAUCCUGCGAACCUCUUAGAAAUUUGAGGGUGCCUUCGGGAAUGCAGUGACAGGUGGUGCAUGGCUGUCGUCAGCUCGUGUCGUGAGAUGUUGGGUUAAGUCCCGCAACGAGCGCAACCCACGUUUUUAGUUGCCAGCAUUUAGUUGGGCACUCUAGAAAGACCGCCGGUGAUAAACCGGAGGAAGGUGUGGAUGACGUCAAGUCAUCAUGCCCCUUACACCCUGGGCUACACACGUACUACAAUGCUACGGACAAAGGGCAGCAAACUCGCGAGAGCUAGCAAAUCCCAUAAACCGUGGCUCAGUUCAGAUCGUAGGCUGCAACUCGCCUACGUGAAGUAGGAAUCGCUAGUAAUCGCAGGUCAGCAUACUGCGGUGAAUACGUUCCCGGGCCUUGUACACACCGCCCGUCACACCAUGGAAGUUGGCCAUGCCCGAAGUCGUUACUCCAACCC